UACACAAUGGACGUUUUACGUUUUUCAUCGACAUUUGCUUAUUCAACAUUGAAUAGAGCUUGACCACCGUUUAUUCUACCACAUCUAAUCGAUUGACACUUUUCGAAUGACACUUUUAACUGGAUUUUAGGAAAUAUUUGAAAAAUUGCAAGUCUCUGAUGGCAAUAAAAAUCGGUUAACACUUUAUUAUGGUGUGUUCAUUUACUACCAGGUGAGGGCUACCGUGAGGUAUUAUUUCAAGGUAUUUCCUGACAUACUGUUAAAAUGAUUUUAAUUAACACUAAUUCGUGAAAACUCCAGCUGUGAAAAAAAUGUUCAUUUUUAGCAAGGAACCUAAAUGAUGUCUUUCAUGCUAUUGAAAAAAUUAUAUAUAAAAGCAUGAAGAGAACUGUACUUACAUAACAAAUACUAAUGAAAAUACCACAUUUUCUCCUUCUCUCAAAAGGAAAAGUAAAGAAUUUCAAUGACUGAAUUAGAAAAUUAGAGUUACGAAAUUCUACCCUUUCCGAUUAAACAAAAAAGAACACCUUUAAAUGCUGUUAGAACAGCUGUACUUUUUUACCUCGAGUUCUUUUGAUUUCAAUGAAAGUGAUUUUGUGUUGUCAAUCGAAAAUUGUUUUUGAAACAGCGAUCUGCAACAUGAACAAACAAACUUAAGAGUCAACAUUAUUUAUCAAUCCACGCUCUAACAAUAACAAGUGUUUGCAGAUUUAUUAGAAUAAAGAAAUGUUUAACAACAAUUGUUAUAAACUGUUUAGUGUUAACCUUAACAAGAGCCCGUCUGGGGGAACAAAGCGCUUUUCCUGUAUCGGGAAUACAUCUGAUGUUGGUAGGCAAGGCUUGACUUUCGCCGUUUUCCUGUUGGAUGUCGUUCAAAUUAUUUUCAAGAGUGUCUAAAGGACAAAACAUCACGCUGACCACGAGAAGUCGUGAUUUAUUCAUGCCUCAAAGCAAGAGACUAAUGUUCUUCGAGAGAGCGUUUUGCUCUUCCCUCAAAAUCAAACACCGUUGGAGGAUUAAACAAAAAUACUGGAAGUUGCGAACAGGCCUCUGAAACACGAUAGUCAGGCAACAAUAAACUCUUGUCUUCGUAAAACAACAGGAACUCCUUUCACUGGAAAGUUUAUAACCUUUUAUUUCUAAUCAUAAUCAUAUUUUUACCCUAAGCGCAAACUAGAUACGCAAUGCGAACCCUCCAAUUUUUAUCUGUCUACUGAAUAGGUGUGGAUAUCUUUGUUUAAAAACUUCUCGACUAACCAUAUUGCUAUUGUAAGAGUGUUAUAGAAAUAAUUGACAUUAACGUAUCAUUAUAGGAAAUGAGGAUUUUUAAACAUUCAUUUGUUGAAGAACUCGAAAGAAUAGGAUAUUUAUAUUAUCACUGAUUUGCAUUAUCUCUGAUGCGAAUAUGAAUAAAAACUUAAUUAACAUUG